AGUCGGCCAGGCUGGGUAGAGAUCGUCACCCUAGCGCGCGGUUUCUUGCUCUCUCGCUUUGAACUGGGAAAAUUCGCUUUGGGGAGUGAAGAGGGUAGUCAGUGGCCUGACGAUCACGUCUGGUGAGUUAGGCCAGCCUGAAGCCAGCCCCACACAUGCUAGGCUAGACCGGCCGAACCGUGAGAGAAGUGGGGCUAGCGUCCCGGGAGGGGUGAUCCGAGGGGCCGGAGCCCAAGGGUCCAACUCCUGGAUCCGAAAUGUUCUUGAGCAAAGAACGGACUCACCUCUCCAGUGGAUCACCCCGUCGGAGGUGGUGCCUGUCGCUGGGCUGGCUGUCCAAAGGUACCUGUUAGGGGAUGAGCCACGCGACCAGAUACCGAAACCGCCUCUUUACUGCUUUAAUGUGACGAUCUCCGACAGGGUGUACCAGCAGUGCUACCUGGUCCCCAGCCUAAACGAUCUCGUAUACAAAAAUAUUCUGAAUGUUGGCAUAGAAAUGAGAAUUUCCAGAGUCUCGUGUCUUUACAACGAGAGAAGAACAGGCCAGAGCAUCCUGUGCAUAGAUAGCGUCCACUGUGGAAAGACCUUGGACACUAUUUCCUUAGAAACGCUCUUUAGAAAUAGUGCGCACGAGGAGAUACAAAAAGAGGCCUUGAAGGGCGGUAGGAGUCAUUACCUGGCGCUGUGGAAUAACGAAGACAGGUGUGGAGAUAUCUGACUAACCAACAAGCAACCUGAGGAACACAAUUGUAACGAAUCCCAAGGACAAUUUAUGGUCAUCACAGGAGGUUCAGAGAUUCCAGGAGGCGUGAGACGAGGCUGCUGAAACCUCGACAGUAAAGAACUCUUCAGGAGUCCCGACCAAGAUCUACUGCUGUUUUGCAAUCUGGACAAAUUCUGGUGCCUUUUGCCCAUAGGGGGCCCUUUCAAGGAUCUGAGUUUCUGGAUGAUUGGGUAAUAAAGAGUUUUAUUAUCUCUCUCUCCUCCAAAGCACCUGGUACUGUGUUUUCUUCUUAGGUGCUCCAUAAAUGUCUGUUAAAACAAAGUAAAGGUAACACAUCUACAAUCUCUUUUUGUCAUCAGUGUUAACAUUUUAAAAUGUGUUAUCGUGUAAUCACAUGCAGUAUUCCUUAUGAGAUGGCAUGGGGCCUUUUGUCAACAUUAUUUAAAAUGAAAGGGCAGUCCAAGUAGGAAUUUAUCCACUAAGUGUCUUUGAAGAGCCUCCAAUUAGUUCAGAUUGGUUCAUGCUGUGCUGCCAGUCUUUCUGCUAAAAUUUCUUUUUCUUAAGUCCCUACGUGAACCUUCUAGGACUCUUAAUUGAGGUUCACUCUGUUAUUUCAGAGGCUCAUACAGAACUCUCUUUGGGAUAAACCCUUUGGGACUUGGGCUUCUGCUGAGACUGCUUAGGGACAACAGCCUUCAACUUCUUGGAAGGCCUGUGUUGACUUUAAGGAUCUGGAAAUGCUGGCCCAGAUCUUUCUGAGGCCUAAACAGAAGACAGUAUAGUCACAGCCUUGGCUUCAUCUUCACACCACAUUUUCCCAGGAGGGCUCUGGAUGUGGCCCUUGCCUGGAAGUCUUUCCUUAACUUUGGCAUCACUUGCCAUUUAAGAGUGGCUGGAGGUUUUCAAAGCAGCAAGUUCUGUCUCCUUUUUCUUUAAGAAGGCCCUCCUUUAUUUCAACUGUCUCAUCUCACGCUGUGCUAUCAACAAGCAGGGAGAUGCCUGGCAAAUACAUUAUGCACUCAUUAGCAUAGUAGAAUAAUAAAGAGUUUUAUUAUCUCAACAUAGUAAAAAUGACCCUCCAUCACAACAUGGUAAAAAUCAAACCUCCCUGCACGGCACCUCAACAGGACAGUUUCAAAGAGAACCAACUAUGGUCAAAAUCCCCCACCUGACAUGAGGGUGGAGCAAGCCCCAACUCCAGGGAGACUCCACCUGUCCCCUUUGAAGCCUAAUCUCACUUAGUGAAUAUUCAUCUCCCUUCGUAUAAAAAAACGGCUCCCGAUUUAUUUCCCUUGGUGCCACCUUCUCUCAGUCUGCUUACACCCCAGCUCUCGGGCAUGUAUUCUUUGUGUUUUUCUGAAAGUUUCUUCUCUAAGUAAAUGCUUAAUGCUCAGUGGCUCUUUGUGUCUGUUCUUGAAUUCUUUCUUGCAGUGAGACCAAAAACCCGUCUCCAGUAACACAGUCACUUCACAUAAAGCCUGUUCAAACACACCAUGUCUCCUACAAACUUUUACCUUGAUUCCAUGUACCCUUACAUGUCUACUGUAGCCUCUAUUAGGACUUCAUCAAAAUGUUUUGGUUUCACAAUACCAAGUAAGGGGCAUGUGUCCCAACAUGACAUAAUAUCUAUUCUCAUAAAACAUCCAGGUAAAGGAGACACCAUUUCUUUGCGGCCUGUUUAAACAUUCCAACUUUCAUAACCUUGUUGACUCUUACAUUUUUAUGUUCUUUCAGUCUAAUCACCACCCAGGUCAGGGCUUCUCCAAUGAGUUUUGGUACCACUGUGCAUAAGGUGCAUAUCUUAAUGAUACCUGGAAACCUCGUUUCCACCCCGUGACCAUUUUACUCACUCUCUGGCAAAAGACUUUCAGUCCUCAGUGAGGGGCUGAGCCAAGGGUCUCUGGCCCUUUUGUGAACCUGUUACUGGAGAUGGUCCUUUCUCCUUGCAAGAAAGAAAGGGGGCGAUGUUAGGUAGAAAGAUCGACAUGAGCAGCUGGAAAAGGGAGGAUAAGGCUCAAAGACAAAGCCCAAAGCCUUCAACCUAAGGUUCAGGGGAAGAGCCACCGAGACUCUGCCUAGGUCAGCGGUCCCACAUGAAGACAACAAAGGCUUUGCAGGGAGAUAACUUCCUUCCCAACGGGGGAACAGUCGAACGGAAUGAAGAACUCUCUGAAUCACAUCUCACCGUGGGGAACCAACAUGCUGACUGAGAGGGAUGACGAUAUAGAAAGACCUGUAAAUCAAACAACCUCACCUUGUCAGUCAAAGACGCAACUCCUUGCCUUUGUCCACCUGGAUGAUGUCCUGCUCCUCCCUUGGAGUGUAUUCAAAUAAAACAUUCACUC